CAGCACCACUGACGAUCCAGAGGGGAGGUGCUCUGGCAACUGUUUUCCACUGACUUAGCUCUGCCCAAAACACACUUGUGCUACAGUCAGGAAUGACAUCUGCCCUGGGUUGUUUUUCUACCUCUGUCAUUUGAAGUCUGCUUUGAAGUAGUGGCAUUUGUCUUCAUCCCGGCUGUGCCUGGGAGAUCCCGAAUGCUGUGCUUCUCUCCAGCCGGUGAGACACUGGCCUCCAGAGGCCAGGGACACUGCUCCUCCCCAUUGCAGGCACGACUCAUUUAGACUAUGCAGCUUCUAGGGAUGGGGUAAGCAUACCUGCAGGAUGAGGGUGGAGGGAGCAUAUUGCAUAGGUUGAUUUUGGCAGGUGAACUCAGCCUACAGACUGACCUCAUGCAAAACUACAGCUGUAGCUUCAGGGAGCAUAGAGGAGCUGCGAGUUUCUGUGGGAUAAAGUCUGGUAAUGAAACCUGGCUUUUUGUACUUUGCCCUGGGAUGGCAGCUACCUACUGAGUUCUCAGAAGCAUUCCCUGCUACACCUCAAAACCAGCUCUGCUCAUGAUCCGUCCGUCUCGGUACCCCUGUGCCCACAUUAUAUGCAGGCACAACCAGUACUGGGUACUAGAGAUUGAGUUCAGGUCCUUCCAUUUGCAGAGCAAAUGCUCGACCCAGUAGGUGGCCUCCCUAGAGGCUUUGUACUUUUAAAUCUUUCAGGUCCCAUCCUGGUUACAUCAUUAAUUAAGAGAGGAAAUGCCUAGAAUUGUAAAUGGUAAUCUCACCUCCUUUUCUCCACUUUAUUAUCUUUUCUUUCAGUAAAGUGGAAUUAGUUUUUGGUUUUGUUUUCUGUAUAAAGGAAAUGAGAAGAGACAGCUCAGAGAAGACUGCUCCUUUCCUCUUCUGUCGAGUCAGGUGUAGAUAAGGGCAAAAGGCAAGAGUGGAAACCAAGUGGUCUCCACAGGCCUAGCAUCCCUGACCAAGCAGAGAACUCUCACUGUGCACCUUGGCCUAAGGGAACCACUUGAGGUUUCUGUUGGCUAUUGGACCUUUAGGACUUCACACCCCAAUGGUAGGUCUGCGGCACUAGACUCACCAACCCGACUCGCCCACCAGUUUUUCAGAUUUCUUGCCAGAGGACAGCCUGCUUAGCAUUUUAAUCCUUUAGCUUGCUGAGCUGAGUCAGCUCCACCCAAGAUAAUGUGAGAGCCUGGAAGACUGAUAUUUCAAAUGUCUAUUGAGUAAGGGAAGGAAGCAGCAUCUCAGCGGCUGAUUCGAGGCAAAGCUUUGUCUGCUGCCACUGUGAAUGUUCACAAAGAUUGCUGCUGCAGUGGAUGGCAGACAGAAGAAAGAGCGGGAGAAGCUGGGUUUGCAGUGAAAGUUCCUGCAAGGGAAAACAAAAUGGAAUCUGAGGCUUGAACUUUUUCUUUUUUGUUCCUUUUUAUUGAAGUAGAGUUAUAUAAAAAGAAAGAAAAGAAAAAAGAGAAACAAACAAACAAACCCCCUUAAAGCUUGAAAGGUAAAGCAGACUCCUAUGGCGCCAGACGGAGUGUGCACCAAACAAAGGGAGUUGGAGGUUUUGUUUGUUUGCUUGCUUUUGUUUUUGUUUUUCUGAGACAGGGUCUUUCUAUGUAGUCCUGACUGUUAUGGAACUCAUUAUGUAGA